UACGGAGGUUGCAAGCGUUAUCCGGAUUUACUGGGUUUAAAGGGUGCGUAGGUGGGUAGGAAAGUCAGUGGUGAAAUCUUCGGGCUUAACCCGGAAACUGCCAUUGAUACUAUUUAUCUUGAAUACUUUGGAGGUAAGCGGAAUAUGUCAUGUAGCGGUGAAAUGCUUAGAUAUGACAUAGAACACCAAUUGCGAAGGCAGCUUACUACACGUUUAUUGACACUGAGGCACGAAAGCGUGGGGAUCAAACAGG
rnacentral:rRNA from 1 species